UAAUAUUAUUUUUUGAAGACUUCUAGAAUAGAUUUACAUGCUUCAGUGUUCCACAAACACGUCAUUUUUCUUAUGUUGUACAUAUCUAUUCACUCUGUCGACAACUCUGUCUAAAAUGCUCUGUGCUUUAAACCCCACCCCUGAUGAUGCCAGUGUGUUCUGAUUGGUCCGCUUACCCUUUAUGUUCUGCCGCCAUCUUGCAUUCUGUAGACGGAUCCUUGCUGGUAGGCGGUCAAUAAGGAUUGUGUUAUGAGGUGACCUCACCAUGUCGUGGAAGUAGAGAAUGGAAUUCCUACCAGGCGUUUCAGUCAGAUUAGACGAGUGGUUUCUGAGAGGGAAAACGCGAAAAACAUAACAGGUCCCCUUUAAAGCACCAAUGCGUGAACUGAUUCUCAUAAGUACAGUGCUGAUCUUGCCAAUUGUCUGCGGCUAGGGAGGAGUAGGACGAGGUAAGGAGUGUGCACUGAUUACAGCGCGUUACCGCACCCACCACCUCAGGGAUGAGAACCUGAGUGCAGUCAUGCAGGUGCAGCCAUGCAGAUGCAGCCAGUCAUACCUCAGCACCACACUAGUCCAAAUGGACCAGCCUGAGGUGUUUUCCAGUGGCUGGAGUGCCGAUCCUACCAGCAACCCCCACAUUAUCCCUGUAAGUUGGUGGACCUCCUUAUUGGGCUGGAUGUAGGUUUAACGUCAUACCCAGGAUGAAGCAAUUGCAGGUUAAGUGCCUUGCUCUAGGGCCCAACAGAGUAGAAUCACUCUGGGCAUUCACAGGAUUUGAACUAGCAACCUUCCAGUUACUGGCAGAGAUCCCGAGCCUCAGAGCCACCAGGGGAGUGUGAUCUCUUAGAAAAGUUUCUAAUGAGGGGUGUGGAACGAAAUGGGACUAAACAGUGGGGUGUUUGUGUAUUAGACCUCCGAGCUCUUUGAGUGGAGUGUCAGGGCCAUGCUUAGGAAUGACUGGCUACGCAGCAGUUAAAGAAUGGGCCAGAGUUUUAUGGGGCAGAAUAUUAACCAGGCCUCUCUGCUUCUGUAAGGGUUUGUCUCUGCCUCUUUCAUGGUUACCUCCUUCACAUCCUUUUCAUAACUCCUGCACUAUUAAAAAUGGCGACAGUAUUGGUGAUGAAACAUGUUGGGUGUCUCAUUACAUCAUCAACACGUGGUCGAAUGUAUCAGUCAUGAUGAUUUGGAUUCUGGAGGCUGAAAGAGGCCCUUGAUGUAUGAAUGCCCCAUUAAAACUGAAUGGAUUUUUAUGGGCUUCUAGUUUUAUAUUCAGAGUAUUAACAUAUUCCCCUCUGACAGAUGGGGAUUGUUUGGUCAGCUGAUCUGUGGGCCUUUCAAUGGAAAUCUUUGUCAUCGUGGAAUGUAAUCUGAAUUUAAUAUUUUUUUAGAAAUAUCAGAACCGCAGCAUUUUUGACGCAUCCAUUAUCGCAAUAAAACGUGUGCAAUUACGGCUUUGUUGCCCAGCAGUACAGUGGCGGAAGUACAGACCUGAAUACAGCCCAAUUGUAUAUGCAGUGGUCAGUGGCGUCACGACAAAACUCUGAUUGGGGUGGUCAUCAGGGGCCAGUUGUACUCAUGGGGGUGGCCGCAAUGCACCCUCUCUCUUCUAUGGAACCACUUAGGUAAUAUGGAUUUCCUUUUUAAAAUUUUGACAUUGGAUGACAACAGCGGUGGCCACAAAUUUAUUUGUGGUGGCCAUGACCACCCCUGCCCCCCCUUUAGACCCCCUCCCCAGGUAAUCCAUGAGGGCUUGAUGGGGAUUAUAGAAUGGCAUGAAUCUAAUACUGACCAGGAGGAAAAAACAAUCGUUUUCUUAAUGUAAUUUUUAUUCCAGUUUAGCGUAACUGAGUUGUUUUGUUCUUUUUUUUUUAAUCGCCAUAGCAACAUUUGAACGGUAAGCGUUGUUUAUGCUGGGAGCUGAGUGUGUAAUUGUACGGCUUGUGUGUGGUUACGGCUCGUACA